UAUCCACAACAAAAAGACAUCCCUAGCCCUCACCAACUCCAUUUACAGCUGGAGUACCAGUACCAGCCCGAUGUCGCACCGGUACUCAAUAUUGAAACCUACACUUUGCAGAUUUCAAUAUCAAACUCUACUCUUGCGUUGUACUGAGUUAGUUUGGCAUCUAUUUCGCUCCAAAACGACUCCGACUUGUCCUGACACUCUCCAAAGCUGUCGACAAGUCUCAAAUACUGAACUCCAGGGAUAUUACAUUAUAUUUAAUAUAUAUAAUCUAAAUUAUUUUUAAAAAUUAUAUAUAAAAUAUUAUAUAUUUUAAAAUUUUUAUAAUGAGAAAGAAUAAUUAGGUUUAAUUAUAAAGAAAAAAAAAGGAAGAUGAAAAAAAAAAAAAAAAAAGAUCUUUAUUUAUUCUUUUCUCUAUCCAUAUUC
rnacentral:lncRNA from 1 species